rnacentral:rRNA from 1 species
AAUGAACGCUGGCGGCAGGCCUAACACAUGCAAGUCGGGCGAGUGGCGGACGGGGGAGUAAUGUAUGGGGAUCUGCCUGAUGGCGGGGGAUAACUACUGGAAACGGUAGCUAAUACCGCAUACCAUCAGAUGAACCCAGAUGGGAUUAGCUUGUAGGUGAGGUAACGGCUAACCUAGGCGACGAUCCCUAGCUGGUCUGAGAGGAUGAACAGCCACACUUGAACUGAGACACGGCCCAGACUCCUACGGGAGGCCGCAGGGGGGAAUAUUGCACAAUGGUCGCAAGCCUGAGACAGCCAUGCCGGGUGUAUGAAGAAGGCCUUCGGGUUGUAAAGUACGUGCAGUCGGGAGGCGUUACCGGCAGAAGAAGCACCGGCUAACUCCGUGCCAGCAGCCGCGGUAAUUC